AUUGAACGCUGGCGGCAGGCUUAACACAUGCAAGUCGAACGAGUGGCGGACGGGUGAGUAAUGUCUGGGAAACUGCCUGAUGGAGGGGGAUAACUACUGGAAACGGUAGCUAAUAACGCAUACCAUCAGAUGUGCCCAGAUGGGAUUAGCUUGUAGGUGGGGUAAGGGCUCACCCAGGCGACGAUCCCUAGCUGGUCUGAGAGGAUGACCAGCCACACUGGAACGGAGACACUGUCCAGACGCCGACGGGAGGCAGAAGUGGGGAAUAUUGCACAAAGGGCGCAAGCCUGAUGCAGCCAUGCCGCGUGUGUGAAGAAGGCCAUCGGGGUGUAAAGUAUUUUCAGCGAGGAGGCGUUACCCGCAGAAGAAGCACCGGCUAACUCCGUGCCAGCAGCCGCGGUAAUAC
rnacentral:rRNA from 1 species